rnacentral:rRNA from 1 species
GCAAGUGUGAAACUCAAAGGAAUUGACGGGGACCCGCACAAGCAGCGGAGCAUGUGGUUUAAUUCGAAGCAACGCGAAGAACCUUACCAGAUCUUGACAUCCAAUUGACCAUCUCUUAAUCGAGAUUUCUCCUUCGGGAGUAAUUGAGACAGGUGGUGCAUGGUUGUCGUCAGCUCGUGUCGUGAGAUGUUGGGUUAAGUCCCGCAACGAGCGCAACCCUUGUCUUUAGUUGCCAUCAGAUAAUGCUGGGCACUCUAGAGAGACUCCCGGUGAUAAACCGGAGGAAGGUGGGGAUGACGUCAAAUCAUCAUGCCCCUUAUGAUCUGGGCUACACACGUGCUACAAUGGCCGGUACAACGGGCAGCGAAGGAGCGAUCCGGAGCAAAUCCUAAUAAGCCGGUCCCAGUUCGGAUUGUAGGCUGCAACUCGCCUGCAUGAAGUUGGAGUUGCUAGUAAUCGCGAAUCAGAAUGUCGCGGUGAAUGCGUUCCCGGGUCUUGUACACAUCGCCCGUCACACCAUGGAAGCUGGGGGCACCCGAAGCCUGUGAUCUAACCCGUAAGGGAGGAAGCAGUCGAAGGUGAAAUCAGUGACUAGGGUGAAGUCGUAACAAGGUA